CACGCUGUAAACUAUGUUGACUGGAUAUUGGAAGUUCGACCCUUUCAGUAUCGUAGCUAACGCGUUAAGUCAACCGCCUGGGGAGUACGGUCGCAAGACUAAAACUCAAAGGAAUUGACGGGGACCCGCACAAGCGGUGGAGCAUGUGGUUUAAUUCGACGAUAAGCGAGGAACCUUACCAAGGCUUGUAUCUGGGGAAGUUGCUAGAAAUAGCGAUGUGCCCGCAAGGGAACCCCAAGACAGGUGUUGCACGGCCGUCGUCAGCUCGUGUCGUGAGAUGUUCGGUUAAAUACCGGUAACGAGCGUAACCCGUAUGAUGUGUUACAUUUCUCACAUCAGACUGCCCGCUUUAAGUGG
rnacentral:rRNA from 1 species